rnacentral:lncRNA from 1 species
AAAAAGAGAGGAUAAGAUUGAGAAAGAGAGAUAUCAAAAAGAAAAAGAAAAGGAAGAGAUAAGAACAAGAAAGAAAGAGAAAGAGAGGAAGAGGAGGAAGACAAGAAGAAGAAGAAGGAAAAGCUCAUGAAGAACCCUGGAAGCUAAUCAUCACCAUUUUCUACUCAUCAUCUUCACCAUGGAAUUGAUAGUGAGAUAGUU